rnacentral:pre_miRNA from 1 species
AGUGGGAUAGCUGGGUCAAAUGGUAGUUCCAUUUGACCAUACUGCUUUCCAAGGAAUCUCCAUACUGCUUUCCAGGUUAGUUGAACCAAUUUGCAGUCCCACCAGCAAU